GCCCGGCUAGCUCAAUCGGUAGAGCGUGAGACUCUUAAUCUCAAGGUUGUGGGUUCGACCCCCACGUUGGGCU
rnacentral:tRNA from 2 species